rnacentral:rRNA from 1 species
UACGUAGGGGGCUAGCGUUGUCCGGAAUCAUUGGGCGUAAAGAGCGUGUAGGCGGCCAUACAGGUCCGUUGUGAAAACUGGAGGCUUAACCUCCAGACGUCGAUGGAAACCGUAUGGCUAGAGUCCGGAAGAGGAGAGUGGAAUUCCUGGUGUAGCGGUGAAAUGCGCAGAUAUCAGGAAGAACACCCGUGGCGAAGGCGGCUCUCUGGGACGGUACUGACGCUGAGACGCGAAAGCGUGGGGAGCAAACAGG